AAACUCCUGCCUUUUGGUGGCAAAAUACACGGCUGCUUGUUCAGGGCUCUUAUCUAGAGAACUACAGACCAGCCCCGGCUCCAGACGAGUUUAACAGGGGGGGGCAUCGACUUAGUUUGGGGGGGCAAAAUUA